ensembl:lncRNA
AUGGGACAGAUGUACCGGGAAUACACAGAUCGCCGUGCAUCGCAUCUUCUCCCUGAUAACAUGGAGGGCAAAGUUUGUUGCCCUUCAUCACUCGAAGCUUUAGGGUGUUUGCUUCGUAAAUGGUACUGCAUCGUACUUGUGCUACUGCUGUAUUUUAAUACGGCGCCACAUAAUUUACAGGUAACUUCGUUGCCCUUUCUGUUAAAAUGAUCCCACACAGUGCUUCUUUUCGCUCGCUUCAUUCUGCUUCCCUUGCUCGGGAAAAAAAAAAAUUCUGCAGGCAUGUGUCACGUGUGUGGUUGCGCGUGCCGACGCUCUCCGUGAGUUAAUAAAUAUAAGCUAUAUAGUAGGCUAUUUUAUUUUUAAACCAUGCAGCAAACUAAAAAAAAGAACCUUAAAAAAACGUUUUAAACCGUUUAACUGAUAGUAUUAAUCAGUCAAAAUUUUUACUUUCGGUUAACGGUUAAACGGUCAAUAUGAGCAUCCCUAAUUUGCAGAUAGAAAUGAGAACGGUCCAGCAUUUAGCAAUAAUUAUGAUUAAUUCUGUUAUUAUUCUUGAUUUUUCAAACUGCUAACACUUUGCAUUUUUAAAUUAUGCCUUUACUGUGUGACCAAAAAUUUUGUAUUUUCUGUUUCAGCUGUUUGAUCGCGCUGGUGCCUGCGCACAUUCAUUGGAAACAGUAGCCGUUCACCGUGCCAUUCGGCGCGAGCAGCGGUCCACGUUGGCAUAUUUUUGUUAAAGGAACACUCCAACUUUUUGGGACUUUAGCUUAUUCACAGUAUCUCCCAGAGUUAGAUAAGUCCAUACAUACCUUUUUCAUUUCUGUGCGUUCUGUAAGUGUUAUUUGACGCACCCACCGCUAGCCUAGCUUAGCACAAAGACUGGAUGUGAAUGGAUAAUGCUAGCAUAGUAAUCCCAAUAAGUGACAAAAUAAUGCAAACAUUUUCCUAUUUACAUGUUGUGAUCUGUAUAGUCACAGCGUGUACAAAUAACAAGGCUAUAUGAGACAGAGACCCUUUUUAAUCGUAUAAAUACUGGGAACUAUAUUCUCACUAGGCGUAGGAGCACAGCUAACGUUACUUGGGCGGAGUGGCUACUUGGGCGGAGUGAUUAGCGCAGCACACGAGAUGCCCUGUUGAUGGUUCCGUAAACAAAACAAACGUGACUAACUAGCUAGACGUGACUUGUGAUCAUGGCUGACUUUGAGGAAUUGUCAGACUCAGAGUAAAUGUUUUUCUGUCUUGCUACUUGUGGACUUUGAAGCUGGGCGCAGUUAGCGCGAGUCCCGCGCGCUGUGAAGCGGGAGCAGCUGACGGAGGACUCCGCUUGGUCUUAAAGCCUUCCACAAACGCUACGUUCACAAAUAACAAUGAUUUUCGUAAAAUAAUGAUUAAUUAUCAAUUGAUAAUUUGUUAUUAUUAUGGUCUUGUGAAAACAAUAAUGUGGGCUGCGGGAAAAUAAUGAAUAAAAAGAGAAGGGCUGCUGUGAGUGCAGGCAUGUUUCAGCCCAGUAACAUGAGAACACACCGUUCCUCACAGCCAGAAACAGACCGAGUUCAGUUCAGCUCGAGGGGGUUGGGGGGUAGUUCUGUGUAGCUUGUGGAGGUUGAUAUAAAGGUGUGAAUCUCUUGCUCUUUCAUAUGGACAGUGUCUUAUGAGGGUAUCAAACUUGCAGAACAGGUUUAGAUAGGACUCGUCAUUUUGGUUUUAGGGCAACUUUGAAGAAAGGUUUUGAUCCACUUCAAAUGUUGACUAAUGUAUAGCGCAAUAUAGUUUAUUAGUUAUUAUAACUUCAGAGGAAGUUGCCUUAACUCAAUAAAAUAAAUAAAUAAAUUCGCAAACGAAAUCCAGACCAGUCCAGACAUCAGUAUGAUCUGUAUAUGAUGUUUUAUAGGCUUUUUUAGAUUUGGGAAUACACAUGCGUUACAGACAUGACAAAAAAACAUUUUGGAGUUUUUGGAGACAUUAUUAUUAUUAUUAAUUAAAAAAAAUUUUGUAGCCUAUUUACAAUGCACAAACCAGAAGCAACAAUAUCUGCAGAGAAGGGUUGGCCAUUCUCAAAAAUCAAUUUUCGUUUUUGUGUUUCAGAGGAAAAAUCAGUGUAAAGGCAUCUCUCCAUUACAGACCGUUCUGAAAGAAGAAUUUAUGCAAACGCGUAUAAAAUGCUUUAAAAACUUUAACAGAGAUGUCUAGAGGGUAGUCUGCCUCCCACGUAAGAUUUUUCUAGUUACUAGUCGUUCAUUUGUCAUUAUUCAACUAAUCGCAGGUUUAUAUUAAAUUUACAUCUAUAAUCCAUAAUGAGCCUUAAUAUAUUCCGCGCUCAAGCACAUGCAUUAAGUUUGCCCCAAAGCACAGGCAGAAGUAGCCUAAUAAUUGUAAAAAGGGAGACAUUUUAAUUAUUUAUUAAUAAACAAAUGUUUUCUUGUCGGCUGCAAGAUGAAAUUCACAGUGCUGCCUCUCUCCACAUGGACGCGCCUUUAAAGAGACAUACAACCUUCACAGAUUACACAAUGCUUUCGUUUUGAAUUGAUUCGUUUAAAAGACAUUUCAAGCUUUCUGUAGAUAUAUUUCUCAUGUAUGUGAGACACCACAAUUUUAAGUUAAUUCAUUAUCAGGAAAAAAUUCAAGUGAUCUAGAGGGCACCUCCCUGUCCUGCAUGCGCAUUAAUAAUUUUCGCACAAACACUUGAAUAUGAAUAAUUAUUCACAUUUUGCAUAUGCAUUACAACGUAAAUUAUUUUUUACAUGCAAUUAUCUAAAAUAAAACCAAACAAGAUUUGUAAUGAAGAUAAAACAAAUAAGAAUAAAUGCUGCGCAUGCACUCAGCAUCACUCGCGCCGCGCAAAUCUUGCACGCAGACAUUUUACACACCUGCAUUUAAAUGCGGCUGCAAUUUUUUUUUUUUUUUUACUUAAAUUAUAUGAAAGCAAGUAACGGCGGCUCCCUUUAAAAUCACUGAAGUUGUCUAUUAAUGAAGCUCUUUUUUUUACAUCAUUUGCAGUUUGGUGAUUAUAAUGAGAGAACUUGAGUUUAAUCGUGAGGACGUUUUAUUAAUCCGUACAUUCUUUAGAAUUUCAAUGAUUUAGCUAAAUCGUGCAGGUUUAAUUUAUUCGUUUCUUGUUUUAAUUAGGCCUAAAUAAUGGGAACGAAAUUAUACAGUGCCUCACGUUUUACUAAAAGAAAAUAAUUUAUAAAACAAGCAACAAUUUCUCACAGACAAAUAUAUUUUCCCAAGAAGUUGUCUGUCAAAAUAAAGGACAGUUAAAGAAUAACAAAAAUGCAUGUUGUUUUAUUAAAGGAAUUUUAAAAUAUAAAUUAAAAUAUAGGCCUAAUAUAUGAGAAUAUUGACAUUUUGCAUAUAAAUCCAUGUAGCCUAGCUCACUAAAAUAGGCUACCACUUUUAAUGCUCUGAUGCAAAGUAAACCACAUUUUCUUUUGAAUAAUAUAACACAUAAUUCAUAUUAUAUAAAUAAUACUGCACACCUAUUAAAUGUGUCAAAUCUAAAAUAUGGUGUAAUACUGUGUAGCUUAGAGAAAAUAUAAGCACAGGCUCAUAGGCUUGAAAUUUAUCCUGCUUGAAAUUGUUCUAAGAAAUGCACAU